CAAAUUGAUCAUAUCAAAUGGGUUAUAAUUGAAUUUUUAUAAAUUAUAAUUUUUAAGCUAUUUUUAAUGCAUUAAAAAUAGAUGAAGUUACAAUUAUAUCUUUUUCAAGUGGGACACAAUUAAUGCUUAAUCUAAUUUUUUCUAAAUUCAAUUUCGGCUACACGUUCUUCCAGAUUUUAAUUUCGAUUUUCAUUUUUUUUUUCUCUCAGUUUCUCUUUAACAAAACACUCAUCUAGAGUAGAAAAAUCACAAAUUUUCCUAUUUUCUCCCUCAAGUUACACUUUCACAG
rnacentral:misc_RNA from 1 species